UACGUAGGGUGCAAGCGUUUGUCCGGAAUUAUUGGGCGUAAAGAGCUCGUAGGCGGUCUGUUGCGUCCGCUGUGAAACUCGGGGCUUAACCCCGAGCCUGCAGUGGAUACGGGCAGACUAGAGGUAGGUAGGGGAGAAUGGAAUUCCCGGUGUAGCGGUGAAAUGCGCAGAUAUCGGGAGGAACACCGGUGGCGAAGGCGGUUCUCUGGGCCUUACCUGACGCUGAGGAGCGAAAGCGUGGGGAGCGAACAGG
rnacentral:rRNA from 1 species